UACGGGGGGGGCAAGCGUUGUUCGGAGUUACUGGGCGUAAAGGGUUUGUAGGUGGCUUGUUAAGUCAGACGUGAAAUCCCUCAGCUUAACUGGGGAACUGCGUCUGAUACUGAGUGGCUUGAGUGCAGGAGAGGAAUGCGGAAUUCCAGGUGUAGCGGUGAAAUGCGUAGAUAUCUGGAGGAACACCGGUGGCGAAGGCGGCAUUCUGGACUGUAACUGACACUGAGGAACGAAAGCCAGGGGAGCAAACGGG
rnacentral:rRNA from 1 species